rnacentral:tRNA from 1 species
AAAAAGAUAAGCUAAUUCAAGCUAAUGGGUUCAUACCCCAUCUAUAAAGGUAAAUUCCUUUUCUUUUUA